UACAGAGGGUGCAAGCGUUGUUCGGAAUUAUUGGGCGUAAAGCGCGUGUAGGCGGCCAAGCAAGUCGGGUGUGAAAGCCCUCAGCUUAACUGAGGAAGUGCGCCCGAAACUACGUGGCUUGAGUACCGGAGAGGGUGGCGGAAUUCCCGGUGUAGCGGUGAAAUGCGUAGAUAUUGGGAGGAACACCGGUGGCGAAGGCGGCCCCCUGGACCGGUACUGACGCUGAGGCGCGAAAGCGUGGGUAGCAAACGGG
rnacentral:rRNA from 1 species